rnacentral:rRNA from 1 species
GAUGAACGCUAGCGGGAGGCCUAACACAUGCAAGCCGAGCGGUAUUGUUUCUUCGGAAAUGAGAGAGCGGCGUACGGGUGCGUAACACGUGUGCAACCUGCCUUUAUCUGGGGGAUAGCCUUUCGAAAGGAAGAUUAAUACUCCAUAAUAUAUUGAACGGCAUCGUUUAAUAUUGAAAGCUCCGGCGGAUAGAGAUGGGCACGCGCAAGAUUAGCUAGUUGGUGAGGUAACGGCUCACCAAGGCGAUGAUCUUUAGGGGGCCUGAGAGGGUGAUCCCCCACACUGGUACUGAGACACGGACCAGACUCCUACGGGAGGCAGCGGUAAGGAAUAUUGGUCGAUGGGUGCAAGCCUGAACCAGCCAUCCCGCGUGAAGGACGACUGCCCUAUGGGUUGUAAACUUCUUUUGUAUAGGGAUAAACCUACCCUCGAGAGGGUAGCUGAAGGUACUAUACGAAUAAGCACCGGCUAACUCCGUG